ACAGAUGGUCACUUCAAGUGGGGAUACCACAGUGUGGAUAUGAGACCUCUCCAAAUGUGGAUGCAUUCUGGCUUUAGGAGAACGUGUGUCCAGGCUGUAUGGGACAACUCACAGCGGUUUCGUGCUUUCUGCCUCCACGGACAACAGUCUCUGCGUUCAGACGUCCUGUGGUGACCUGCAUUCCUGCAGUCAUGCUACCUUUGGCAUGCAGAAUCAUUCACCUGGAGAAUCCCAAUGAAAGACAUCUUCAUCCCUGGGAAUGGAAUCGUGGAAGUACACUAAAGUAUUUAAAACAAAAGCUCUUCCAGUGGAGCAGCACAACCUAGCCCACAGAUUGCUUGCACAGAAAGCUCCACUGCUUGAGCUGUAAAAGCUCCUGCCCUAGCUGAUCUAAGGAGAUAAGCUGAACAAAGCAGUGUUACUGCUUCCUAUUGCAGAUGGAGAAAUAAAUGACAUGUACUGUCAGGGAGCAGCACAGUUGUUGGAACUGAUCUCCAAAUGUGUCCUGUCUGUUGAUCCUCCACUAAUGCUCUUGUAUUGUGUUCAUGGAUCUGUGCAUAGAAAAGUUAUUAGGUU